UUUUUUUAGGUUUUUUGUUUUUGUUUUUUUUGUCUUUAAAUUUAUGUUUUUGUUUUUAAUUCGAUGAUUAACUAUUUAAACGGGACAAUAUUCCUUGAGAGCAAGCACAAAGAUUUUCGAUUCCCCUUGGCCCAUCCUUCACUCUUCCUUUGUUUGGUGGGUUUAGAAAUUGCUGAUUUUUUUCCUUGUAAUUAACCAUUCCUUUUUGUAGUUAGUUUGAAGCCAUGGAUGAUAGAACAGCCAGACAACCUAAUAACCUGUGGAAAUAUUGAUAUUUUGAAGCGAUGGUUACAAGUAUGAAGGCCAUUCUCGCUAGAAUGAAUUUCUGCCAUUGCAUAUCAUUGGUUUGUUUGCUUUGAAAAAAAUCAAAAAGAAAGAAAGGGAGGAGCACCUCUAAAUUCAUCAUCCAUAAGCAUGGCUUCCAAUGCUUCGAUUCCCAUUCAAGGUCGAUAAUUUUAAUCUCCUUCUGUCUCUCCCUUCCUCCAGGUCGCGGUUGCAAUUUUUUUUCUUUGUAAUAGAAGAUUGAUGCCUCUGUACUCAACAAAGCCAAAACCCACGGACUGCCACCGCAACCCAUCUCCCUUGGCAAUUUUCAUCUCCCUCU